rnacentral:rRNA from 1 species
CCUUUGUACACACCGCCCGUCGCUACUACCGAUUGAAUGGCUUAGUGAGGCCUCCAGAUUGGCUAAUGGGAUCUCGCGAGAGAACCUGUCUGCUGAGAAGUUGUACGAACUUGGUCAUUUAGAGG